rnacentral:rRNA from 1 species
GGAGCAGCCCAGAGCCUGAAUCAGUGUGUGUGUUAGUGGAAGCGUCUGGAAAGGCGUGCGAUACAGGGUGACAGCCCCGUACACAAAAAUGCACAUACUGUGAGCUCGAUGAGUAGGGCGGGACACGUGGUAUCCUGUCUGAAUAUGGGGGGACCAUCCUCCAAGGCUAAAUACUCCUGACUGACCGAUAGUGAACCAGUACCGUGAGGGAAAGGCGAAAAGAACCCCGGCGAGGGGAGUGAAAAAGAACCUGAAACCGUGUACGUACAAGCAGUGGGAGCACGCUUAGGCGUGUGACUGCGUACCUUUUGUAUAAUGGGUCAGCGACUUAUAUUCUGUAGCAAGGUUAACCGAAUAGGGGAGCCGAAGGGAAACCGAGUCUUAACUGGGCGUUAAGUUGCAGGGUAUAGACCCGAAACCCGGUGAUCUAGCCAUGGGCAGGUUGAAGGUUGGGUAACACUAACUGGAGGACCGAACCGACUAAUGUUGAAAAAUUAGCGGAUGACUUGUGGCUGGGGGUGAAAGGCCAAUCAAACCGGGAGAUAGCUGGUUCUCCCCGAAAGCUAUUUAGGUAGCGCCUCGUGAAUUCAUCUCCGGGGGUAGAGCACUGUUUCGGCAAGGGGGUCAUCCCGACUUACCAACCCGAUGCAAACUGCGAAUACCGGAGAAUGUUAUCACGGGAGACACACGGCGGGUGCUAACGUCCGUCGUGAAGAGGGAAACAACCCAGACCGCCAGCUAAGGUCCCAAAGUCAUGGUUAAGUGGGAAACGAUGUGGGAAGGCCCAGACAGCCAGGAUGUUGGCUUAGAAGCAGCCAUCAUUUAAAGAAAGCGUAAUAGCUCACUGGUCGAGUCGGCCUGCGCGGAAGAUGUAACGGGGCUAAACCAUGCACCGAAGCUGCGGCAGCGACGCUUAUGCGUUGUUGGGUAGGGGAGCGUUCUGUAAGCCUGUGAAGGUGUGCUGUGAGGUAUGCUGGAGGUAUCAGAAGUGCGAAUGCUGACAUAAGUAACGAUAAAGCGGGUGAAAAGCCCGCUCGCCGGAAGACCAAGGGUUCCUGUCCAACGUUAAUCGGGGCAGGGUGAGUCGACCCCUAAGGCGAGGCCGAAAGGCGUAGUCGAUGGGAAACAGGUUAAUAUUCCUGUACUUGGUGUUACUGCGAAGGGGGGACGGAGAAGGCUAUGUUGGCCGGGCGACGGUUGUCCCGGUUUAAGCGUGUAGGCUGGUUUUCCAGGCAAAUCCGGAAAAUCAAGGCCGAGGCGUGAUGACGAGGCACUAC